rnacentral:rRNA from 1 species
UACGUAGGUCCCGAGCGUUGUCCGGAUUUAUUGGGCGUAAAGCGAGCGCAGGUGGUUUAUUAAGUCUGGUGUAAAAGGCAGUGGCUCAACCAUUGUAUGCAUUGGAAACCGGUAGACUUGAGUGCAGGAGAGGAGAGUGGAAUUCCAUGUGUAGCGGUGAAAUGCGUAGAUAUAUGGAAGAACACCAGUGGCGAAAGCGGCUCUCUGGUCUGUAACUGACGCUGAGGUUCGGAAGCGUGGGUAGCAAACAGG